GACGUAGGGCGCGAGCGUUGUCCGGAUUGAUUGGGCGUAAAGAGCUCGUAGGCAGCUCGUUGCGUCGGCUGUGAAAACCCGCAGCUCAACUGUGGGCCUGCAGCUGAUACGGGCGGGCUGGAGUUCGGUAGGGGAGACUGGAAUUCCUGGUGUAGCGGUGAAAUGCGCAGAUAUCAGGAGGAACACCGGUGGCGAAGGCGGGUCUCUGGGCCGAUACUGACGCUGAGGAGCGAAAGCGUGGGGAGCGAACAGG
rnacentral:rRNA from 1 species